rnacentral:tRNA from 1 species
UUCUCAAUAGCUCAGCGGCAGAGCAAACGGCUGUUAACCGUAAGGUCGCUGGUUCAAAUCCAGCUUGGGAAG